UAAUAUAGUGAUGACAUGGAGUAUGUCCAUCUCGUAUUGAGACUAAGAUUCUGCAAACAGGGCAGACUAUUUCAAGAUUUUGGAAAACCCAUGUAGGUCAUGAAGAGGAUACAGGGACACAACACUUAUCAAAACUUGAUAAGAAAGAAAUUGUCAAAAAAUUGUGUGAUGGUGUUAUUGUAGAAAGGAUUAUCUCUGACGCAAGGAAAGUGAAAUCAGAAGAAUUGCACAGAUUGAAUUUGAUAAAUAGGAAAGAUAUAGCUUAUUUGUCAAAAAAGCAUAAUAUACUGCAAAAGAAACAUGAGAAUACCAUGAUAGCAGUAAAUCUCAAAGUGAAAGAAUGGAACGUUGAUGGAAAAAACUACUGCUUUUUUUUUAAACAGAAAGGCGAACAACAUCCAUUAUUGCAUCCUAACGACUUUUGUCUAGGGUUUAUGAAUGAGGUAAUG